rnacentral:rRNA from 1 species
CCUACGGGUGGCAGCAGUGGGGGAUAUUGGACAAUGGGGGAAACCCUGAUCCAGCGACGCCGCGGGAGUGAAGAAGUAUUUCGGUAUGUAAAGCUCUAUCAGCAGGGAAGAAAGAAAUGACGGUACCUGAGUAAGAAGCCCCGGCUAACUACGUGCCAGCAGCCGCGGUAAUACGGAGGGGGCAAGCGUUAUCCGGAAUUACUGGGUGUAAAGGGAGCGUAGACGGUAAUGCAAGUCUGGAGUGAAAGGCGGGGGCCCAACCCCCGGACUGCUCUGGAAACUGUGUAACUGGAGUGCAGGAGAGGCAGGCGGAAUUCCUAGUGUAGCGGUGAAAUGCGUAGAGAUUAGGAGGAACACCAGUGGCGAAGGCGGCCUGCUGGACUGUAACUGACGUUGAGGCUCGAAAGCGUGGGGAGCAAACAGGAUUAGAUACCCCAGUAGUC